rnacentral:rRNA from 1 species
AUACGGGGGGGACGAGCGUUGUUCGGAUUUACUGGGCGUAAAGGGGGUGUAGGCGGUUCAGAUAGUCCUUGGUGAAAUCUCCCAGCUCAACUGGGAGGGGUCUGAGGAUACUUCUGGACUUGAGGGCAGUAGAGGAGAGUGGAAUUCCCGGUGGAGUGGUGAAAUGCGUAGAUAUCGGGAGGAACACCCGUGGCGAAAGCGGCUCUCUGGGCUGUACCUGACGCUGAGGCCCGAAAGCGUGGGGAGCGAACCGGAUUAGAAACCCCGGUAGUCC